GGAGCUUAGGGCUGCAAGGACAGGCUGCCACCUCUGAGGAGCCUUCAGUCUGAAGAAUCAAUAGAGGCAAAGGGCCAGAGAUGGCUGCUUUUUGGAACAAACUGACAAACAAACAUUUGCUGCUGGAUCGGUGUAAAAAGUAUGUGCUUGAUUCCUAACCACGAUGGAUUGAAGAGACAAAAGAAAAGAGCAGUGCUGGCAGGACACUUUAUAUUCACUGCAGCAACUGAGAGCACUGCCUGUUCUCACUGUAUCUCCCAGGCCACAAUCGCGGGUGUCAGAUGUGUUUUUGCUAACAAGACUGUGGAACUGGUGAGCAGAGAGCUUUCCCACCCUUCCCUUCUCCCAAGCAUCCGUCAAGCCGCAGUUUCAGAGCAGCCACACCCUUCUUGUUAUUGUUGAAGUCAAAUAUUAAAGGU
ensembl:lncRNA